rnacentral:rRNA from 1 species
AGUUUGAAAGGCGGCGCAAGCUGUCACUUUAGGAUGAGCCCGCGGCGCAUUAGCUAGUUGGUGGGGUAAAGGCCUACCAAGGCAAUGAUGCGUAGCCGAGUUGAGAGACUGAUCGGCCACAUUGGGACUGAGACACGGCCCAAACUCCUACGGGAGGCAGCAGUAGGGAAUCUUCCACAAUGGACGCAAGUCUGAUGGAGCAACGCCGCGUGAGUGAAGAAGGUCUUCGGAUCGUAAAGCUCUGUUGUUGGUGAAGAAGGAUAGAGGCAGUAACUGGUCUUUACUUGACGGUAAUCAACCAGAAAGUCACGGCUAACUACGUGCCAGCAGCCGCGGUAAUACGUAGGUGGCAAGCGUUGUCCGGAUUUAUUGGGCGUAAAGCGAGCGCAGGCGGUUUUUUAAGCUGAUGUGAAAGCCCUCGGCUUAACCGAGGAAGUGCAUCGGAAACUGGGAAACUUGAGUGCAGAAGAGGACAGUGGAACUCCAUGUGUAGCGGUGAAAUGCGUAGAUAUAUGGAAGAACACCAGG